rnacentral:rRNA from 1 species
GUGCCAGCAGCCGCGGUAAUACGGAGGAUCCAAGCGUUAUCCGGAUUUAUUGGGUUUAAAGGGUGCGUAGGUGGGAUAAUAAGUCAGAGGUGAAAGCUAGCAGCUUAACUGUUAAAUUGCCUUUGAUACUGUUAUUCUUGAGUAUAGUUGGCGUUGGCGGAAUGUGACAUGUAGCGGUGAAAUGCGUAGAUAUGUCACAGAACACCGAUCGCGAAGGCAGCUAACGAAACUAUCACUGACACUGAUGCACGAAAGCGUGGGGAGCAAACAGGAUUAGAUACCCUGGUAGUCC